rnacentral:rRNA from 1 species
AGCGGUAUUUGUCCUUCGGGACGGAGAGAGCGGCGUACGGGUGCGGAACACGUGUGCAACCUGCCUUUAUCUGGGGGAUAGCCUUUCGAAAGGAAGAUUAAUACCCCAUAACAUAUGAUACGGCAUCGUAUUAUAUUGAAAACUCCGGUGGAUAGAGAUGGGCACGCGCAAGAUUAGAUAGUUGGUGAGGUAACGGCUCACCAAGUCAGUGAUCUUUAGGGGGCCUGAGAGGGUGAUCCCCCACACUGGUACUGAGACACGGACCAGACUCCUACGGGAGGCAGCAGUGAGGAAUAUUGGACAAUGGGUGAGAGCCUGAUCCAGCCAUCCCGCGUGAAGGACUAAGGCCCUAUGGGUUGUAAACUUCUUUUAUACUGGGAUAAACCUACUUACGUGUAAGUAGCUGAAGGUACAGUAUGAAUAAGCACCGGCUAACUCCGUGCCAGCAGCCGCGGUAAUACGGAGGGUGCAAGCGUUAUCCGGAUUUAUUGGGUUUAAAGGGUCCGUAGGCGGAUCCGUAAGUCAGUGGUGAAAUCUCAUAGCUUAACUAUGAAACUGCCAUUGAUACUGCGGGUCUUGAGUGAGAUUGAGGUAGCUGGAAUAAGUAGUGUAGCGGUGAAAUGCAUAGAUAUUACUUAGAACACCAAUUGCGAAGGCAGGUUACCAAGUCUUAACUGACGCUGAGGGACGAAA